UAAGUAGCCCAUGCUCCUCCUUGGCGUCCUUGCUUAGCCGCUACUCCUUGCAGGCUGCAGUGGCAGCAAUUUUUUUUGAAUUUGUUUUCCCUUAAGUAAGAAUGACGACAAGAACCAUCGUAUUGAAGUUCUAUUUAACUAAUCGUGUUUUUACGAAGAAACAGAUGUACUCAUAGCCGUUCCUAUAUGAACGCUUUAUUUUGUGAAAUCGAAAGAGAUGUUUUAGUAAAGCUUCAAAAACUGAUUAUGUGAUGGACAGUGAAACCGUUCAAGAGAAUACUGGCCAUACCAGUUCAGUGAUACCUGAUGAUCAGAUGCCAUUCAUCCUGUGAGAGUUCUCUCAAACCAGGUUGAUAGCAAGGUUGAUAGUCAAAUAGUUGAAGAGAACGUGCCAGUUCAGUGAUCUCUUGCUGCAGAUGCCAUUAGUCAUGUGACAAUUCUUUCAAACGUACCAAGUUGAUAGUCAAAUAGAAGAAGAGAAUACUGGCCGUGCCAGUUCAGUGAUCUCUUGCUGCAGCCAUCCAUCCUGUGACAGUUCUCUUAUACCGGGUUGAUAUUCAAAUAGAUGAAGAUAAUACUGGCCAUACCAGUUUCAGUGAUAACUGAUGAUCAGAUAUGCCAUUCAUCCUGUGACAGUUCUCUCAGGCCACGUUGAUAGUCAAAUAGUUAAUAGUUAAAGGGAACACUGGCCGUGCCAGUUCAGUGAUCUCUGCUGCUGAUGCCAUCCUUUUUAUGACAGUUCUCUCAAACCAUGUUGAUAGUCAAAAUUAAUGAAGAUAAUCUGUCAGCGGACACUUGGUUGUGUGGUUAGAGUACCCGCG